rnacentral:rRNA from 1 species
GACGAACGCUGGCGGCGUGCUUAACACAUGCAAGUCGAACGGAGAGCGCUGGAUUCUUGCUGCUGUCAUUCUUAGUGGCGGGCGGGUGAGUAACGCGUAAUCAACCUGCCCUCCAGUGGGGGACAACAGGAGGGAACGACUGCUAAUAGCGCAUCCGGUCUAAUCUCGGCGUCCUGGUUAGAUGAAAGGUGGCCUCUGCAUGUACGCUGUCACUGGAGCUGGGGGCCGCGUCGGUUUAGCUAGGUGGGGGGGUAACGGCCCACCAAGGCGAUGAUCCGUAGCCGGUCUGGGAGGAUGGACGGCCACACUGGGACGGGGACACGGCCCAGACUACUACGGGAGGCAGCAGUGGGGAAUCUUGCGCAAUGGACGGAAGUCUGGCGGGGCGACGCCGCGUGGGUGGUGACGGCCUUCGGGUUGUAAAGCUCUGUUAUUCGGGACGAGAGGCCUGCUUGCGAAGAGUUAGAGGGAUUGACGGUACCGGAAGAGAAAGCCACGGCUAACUACGUG